UGAGCAAUCUGCCCUUCUCAUCGGAAUAAGCGUUGGAAACGACGUCUAAUGCCGAAUACGACCUCCUUUCGCAUGAUCGGAGGUGGAAAGCUCCGGCGGAGAAGGAUGAGCUCGCGGCCUAUCAGCUAGUUGGUGUGGGUAAUGGCUCACCAAGGCGACGACGGGUAGCCGGCCUGAGAGGGUGACCGGCCACACUGGGACUGAGACACGGCCCCAGACUCCUAGGGAGG
rnacentral:rRNA from 1 species